CACUGCCCGGGUCCGAUGCAGAAGUUACAACAGGCCUACAGCCAGGGUGCCCUUAGCAUGGCCACUUAGACGCGUAACAAGGAGCCUCGGUAACUUAAUAACUUGCAUGUGGGGGGCGAGUAUUGUUCAAAGUUUGUCUUUGACCCUAAACCUGGAACUAAAGUAAAAAUUGAAAGGGAUAGUAACAGACAUUAGGUGAACAUGGACUCAUGAAAUGGACUGAUGUAUGUAUACAUGGCAGAUGCAACGAUGCAGAGAGUUGUGAAGUGAUGCACUUUGGAAGGCAAAAGAAGCAGGGGCAUGAACUAAGUGGCACAAUUUUAAAGAACAGAGAGACCUGGGUUGCACUUAAACAAAUCUCUGAAGAUGGCUGAACAAGUUGAUAAGGAGCUGCAUCCAAACUCCAUCAGACUCUGGGGAUACCAACAGCUAAGCAACCUGCUUAUAAAGGGUAAGGAUCAUACAAAGAAACAUUGCAGUACAGCAACGGCUACCAACAAGAAUCAUUGGCUGUAAAGCACUUUCCGAUGUCCCAAGGUCAGAAACGGUGCUGUAGAAAUGCAAGUUCUUCUGACUUCCUUCGAGAAGAAAAACAACAAAUGGGCAGCAACAAGCAACAUCGUCUUUCUUGGACUGAAACUAAA